CCUACGGGUGACAGCAGUGAGGAAUAUUGGUCAAUGGACGCAAGUCUGAACCAGCCAUGCCGCGUGCAGGAAGACGGCUCUAUGAGUUGUAAACUGCUUUUGUACGAGGGUAAACGCAGAUACGCGUAUCUGUCUGAAAGUAUCUUACGAAUAAGGAUCGGCUAACUCCGUGCCAGCCGCCGCGGUAAUACGGAGGAUUCAAGCGUUAUCCGGAUUUAUUGGGUUUAAAGGGUGCGUAGGCGGUCGGAUAAGUUAGAGGUGAAAUCCCGAGGCUCAACUUCGGAAUUGCCUCUGAUACUGUUCGGCUAGAGAGUAGUUGCGGUAGGCAGAAUGUAUGGUGUAGCGGUGAAAUGCUUAGAGAUCAUACAGAACACCGAUUGCGAAGGCAGCUUACCAAGCUACUUCUGACGUUGAGGCACGAAAGCGUGGGGAGCAAACAGGAUUAGAUACCCUUGUAGUC
rnacentral:rRNA from 1 species